rnacentral:snoRNA from 1 species
GACACAUGAUGUUAUACUAUAUUUGCUACUUCGGACGGGCUCUCGGAGCCCGAAUGAGACAUAUCUUAAUCACCAAGAUCUCUGAUGUC